UACAGAGGGUGCGAGCGUUAAUCGGAAUUACUGGGCGUAAAGGGCGCGUAGGCGGUUAGAUAAGUGGGAUGUGAAAGCCCUGGGCUUAACCUAGGAAGCGCAUACCAAACUAUGUAACUGGAGUAUGGGAGAGGAUGGCGGAAUUUCCGGUGUAGCGGUGAAACGCGUAGAGAUCGGAAGGAACGUCGAUGGCGAAGGCAGCCAUCUGGCCCAAUACUGACGCUGAGGCGCGAAAGCGUGGGUAGCGAACAGG
rnacentral:rRNA from 1 species